UACAGAGGGGGCAAGCGUUGUUCGGAAUUACUGGGCGUAAAGGGCGCGUAGGCGGCCUGUUAAGUCGAACGUGAAAUCCCCGGGCUCAACCCGGGAACUGCGUCCGAUACUGGCAGGCUUGAAUCCGGGAGAGGGAUGCGGAAUUCCAGGUGUAGCGGCGAAAUGCGUAGAUAUCAGGAAGAACACCAAUGGCGAAAGCAGCUCUCUGGGACGGUACUGACGCUGAGACGCGAAAGCGUGGGGAGCGAACAGG
rnacentral:rRNA from 1 species